rnacentral:rRNA from 1 species
GAUUAACGCUGGCGGCGUGCAUGAGACAUGCAAGUCGAACGGACGAUCAGGGCUUGCUCUGAUCGUUAGUGGCGGACGGCUGAGUAACGCGUAGGUGACCUGCCCCGAAGUGGGGGAUAACUGCCCGAAAGGGUGGCUAAUACCGCAUGUGGUGGUUCGUUCGAUCGAACCAUCAAAGCAGCGAUGCUCUUACGGGAGGGGCCUGCGUCCGAUUAGCUCGUUGGUGGGGUAACGGCUCACCAAGGCGACGAUCGGUAGGUGGUCUGAGAGGACGAUCACCCAGACUGGGACUGAGACACGGCCCAGACUCCUACGGGAGGCAGCAGUCGGGAAUUUUGCGCAAUGGACGAAAGUCUGACGCAGCAACGCCGCGUGAGGGAUGACGGCCUUCGGGUUGUAAACCUCUUUUCUCAGGGACGAUGAUGACGGUACCUGAGGAAGAAGCCACGGCUAACUACGUGCCAGCCGCCGCCGUAA